GUUAUUUUGUUUGCCCCUGGUGCUGCCAGGCAGGACCAUGGGAAGAACUCAGACAUAAACUCGAUAAACGAGAAGAUACUAUUACCGCCCAUCAGUUAUCUACAUACCUUGAGUCUUGCUCUCCAAUUUCAGAAGUUGACUUUGAGCUGUUACAAAGAUCUCCAUUUCAGGCUGUGAGUUUGACCACUUUGGAAAAAUUUGGAGCAAGAUUAACUAGAGACGGAGCAAGAGUAGUUUUCCCCCUAAAGACAGAUAGUAAUAAAAUUGUAGGGUUUGAAAGUGUAUCACUUUUGCAUCCUGUUCCAAAGGUUGUACGUCGAUAUGUCGUCUGGAGAAGCAAAACCAUUGUUCUUCAUGGACCCAACACAAAAGUGCUCAAAGACUAGUUGUUGUUCCAAGUUGUUGUGAU